UAUCUGGACUUUUUCAGUAUGAUGUAUGUCAAGGAAUCAGCCUAAGUGAUAAAAGUAGGAAAGGAAAGAAAAUCUGCACCAGAGUAAUUUCAAAGGAGCUGUUAACACUUUCAUUUCUGAAACUUCCUUACUGGCACAAGGGAGAACUAAAGGAAUCAGAGAGAUUCAAAGACAAUUUAAUGUAUCUGUGCCUAAAAUGCUUUGCUAUCACACAUGUUUGUACUGUGCAAGGUCUCAAUCCUUCUACGACUUCAGUGAGUUCAAAUGUUGCCACUCAGUGACAGGCAUCAGAAAGUGCAUGGGACAGGGAAGCCUUUGUAAAUACACUGCCCCUCAGCCGGACCUCAGCAACAGGAAGAGGUUCAGGCCAAGGCCCAGUGCUCUCUCCAC